GUAGUGUACUGAUCAUAGCAUA
rnacentral:siRNA from 1 species